GACUUAUUCACUAUCACAAGAAAAGCACAGGAAAGACCUGCCCCCAUGAUUCAAUUACCUCCCACUGGGUUCCUUCUACAACAUGUGGGAAUUGUGAGAGCUACAAUUCAAGAUGACAUUUGGGUGGAGACACAGCCAAACCGUAUCACCCAUGUUCUCCAUAUGCUCUAAAAUCUUGGGUUAUGUAGUUUGAAGGUGACUAUAUUAUAUAUGAAAAGGGAAUCAUGUAUGAGAAGGAACCCUUGCUAUGAAGGGCUGGCCCACAAUUACAAGAUAUCCAGACUACAGGUGAGAUGGCCACUGUAUGAAUGGAAGUCAGCUGUGCCCCUGAGCUUCAUCUCACUGUUGUCCCCACCCCUGUCCUCAGGAAAUUCCAGCUGACUAGGGAAGAGAAUGCCAGUGUAUAGUUUGCAGCAGGAGGAACUCAAAACAUCAGUGACAGUGCCCCAAAAUGCUUCAGUUUCCAUGUUCUCUUUUUCAUUUUUUAGGUCCUAUUUUACUUCCUUACCUAAUACUUAUUAUAUUGGAGGUAUGAUGUAAAUUGGAGUAAUACUGACAGACCUUCUUCUUUGAUAGACUAAGCAGUGUUGCUAGAAACAAAUCAUUGCAUAACUAAAUCAUGAUCCACCAUGCACAUAGCCCACCAACCAAUGGAGAAGACCAGCAGAACAGAUAGUAGGCUAUCUCUUCCAGCCUCAAGCCCCAAUGCUGUCAUUCCUAAGUUGAGACGUUGAAGUCUCUUUGCCUCCCUGGUACAGAGUCUGUUUGCCUUGUCUUGUCCAUGAACCAGAGUUCCUUCAAGUCCUUUCUUGCUCUGCAGUUCUACAAACCAGUGAGCCUGCUCUUGCCUCCAUGCUUGUCCUAGGCUGAUGCUGCUCUGCUACUACUCAGUUAAAGAAACAUUGGCCCAAGAGGACAGGCACAAGGACAGGUGGAAGAAGAAAGCUGUCCUGCCACCAGGAGAUGGCAUGGUGGUAUGGCAGUCCCAGGGCCUCAGAGAGAGCAGACAGACACUGGAGAUCCAGGCAAGAGUAGCUCAAGGAGGUGCCUGCUUCUCCUUUGCCUUCUGCCAUGAUUGUAAGUUCCC
ensembl:lncRNA LINC00954 long intergenic non-protein coding RNA 954